rnacentral:lncRNA from 1 species
AAGCCAAAGUGGGAAAAAUGCUUCAGAUGAGAACAGGUGUAUGAACUAAGGAAUUCUGUUUGCUCUGGGUCUAAUUUUUUCUUUGGGAUCUUUGGAAUUUGGAAAUGCUUACAAAUCUGAUGUUCUAGGCUUUCCUGACACUGAAUUUGAUAUAUAUUAGUACUUACAACAGAGACAGUGCCUUCAGUUUUGCAAUUUAGUUGACCGUUUAUUGUCUGGUCACAUGAGGUAAGUUCUUCAUUUGGGAAUGGUUUGAAGUCCUAAGUGCUUUUAAUGGUUGUUCUGGUGACAGCUGUUAAGUGGCAGAAAUUUCAGGUUUCGGCCUUUAUACAGCCGGUGUGCUCUGGUUCAAGAUGAAUUGCGGACUUUGACUUAAAGGUCAUACCCAAUUAUAAUCUGCUAAUAGCUCGGGAAACUUUGUGUCCUUGACAGAGUCUUUGUUCUUCCUCAGAGUUGCCUAAGGAGAUGUCAGACAAACUUGCAGAGGCUGUUGACUUUGGAGCUGUGCCGUCCCUGCAUUUUGUCCACAUGAGAGGAUUGCCUUUCCAAGCCAAUGCCCAGGACAUCAUAAAUUUCUUUGCCCCACUGAAGCCUGUGAGAAUCACCAUGGAGUACAGCUCCAGCGGAAAGGCCACUGGAGAAGCUGACGUGCACUUUGAUACCCAUGAGGAUGCUGUUGCUGCCAUGCUCAAGGACCGGUCGCAUGUCC